rnacentral:rRNA from 1 species
CGAAGGAUGCAAGCGUUAUCCGGAUUCAUUGGGUUUAAAGGGUGCGUAGGCGGACUAAUAAGUCAGUGGUGAAAUUUCUUCGCUUAACGAAGAAACUGCCAUUGAUACUGUUAGUCUAGAGUAUAGAUGACGUUGGCGGAAUAUGACAUGUAGUGGUGAAAUACUUAGAUAUGUCAUAGAACACCGAUUGCGAAGGCAGCUAACGAAACUAUAACUGACGCUGAGGCACGAAAGUGCGGGGAUCAAACAGGAUUAGAUACCCUGGUAGUCCGCACCGUAAACGAUGAUUACUCGUUGUUGGCGAUAUGACAGUCAGCGACCAAGCGAAAGCGAUAAGUAAUCCACCUGGGGAGUACGCCGGCAACGGUG